CACCACGAGAAGCUCAAGCUGCCAGCAUGAUCUGAUAACUCCAUCCUCUUUUAUCUUCCAGAUCAUGGAUGAGGACAUGCAGAUCAUGUUGCAGCUUCAGCUACUAGUGGG
rnacentral:pre_miRNA from 1 species